rnacentral:ncRNA from 2 species
UACUCAUCCAGAGAGGCGGAGGGACCGACCCUUUGAAACCUCGGCAACCGUUCAAGCGGUGCCAACUUCGGCAAUUGAUUUUUCAAUUGACAGAUGAGAG